GUCUGGUCACUUAUAUGGUGUUUACGCUCAGGUUCAGGUUGUACAUUUUGCACCAAAAAAUGGACGUUUCGAAAUCCAUGCUACGGAUGGAAUUAAGAAAGAGGUUGGAGUGCUUUGCAAGCUGUGCGAUACGCUAUCCGAUGGUUGACGCCAUGAAAGUAGCUCAAUCAUUCUUCGUGCGAAAGAUACAACCCGAACUUGUUUCUGCUCAGAUGGGAAAGCCGAAGCCAUUGGUUGGUCAAGCCCACCGUCCAAAUCUACAAGGAGAUAUUAGAAGAAUGAAAUACAGUGAAGACCGGAGCAGCGCAGAGGCGACCAUUGGUCCAUCUGCCUUUCCGCUCUUUUCUGAUGAAAUCUGAGGACGAUACUUCUCGGAUACCGUCGUGACUACGCUGCCGUAGACGCCUCCAACUGCCAUGCAGACAUCACCUCUUCUUGAUUCGAUAGAACGGCCACACCCUCUUCAUGGAUCAUAGAGGCCUCUCGAGCCAGACAAACACGUGGGGCGAGGGCGGGGUGAAAGUGGCCAAUGGGCUAGAGGUCGAGAUGCAAGAGAAGAGGUGAGAGCAAGGGGAGGGGUUAGAGAUCUAGACAAUGGGGACUCGAGAGGGCCCGUCGAUGAUGUGAGCAC
rnacentral:lncRNA from 1 species